AAGAGAUUGCUUUGGUAAAGGUAGCUUGGGGAGGACCAGCAGGUGGCAAUGUGACUUGGGAACUUGAGAGUCAGAUGAAGGAGUCUUAUCCAGAGUUAUUCGCUUGAGGUAUGUUUUCGAGGACGAAAACUCUUUUAGUGGGGGAGAGUUGUAACACCCCGAUAAAAUAUGAUAAUUAUUUAAUUUAAGUUAAUAGAAUAUUUAUUAAUUUAAUUAAAU
rnacentral:lncRNA from 1 species